rnacentral:lncRNA from 1 species
CGGAGGGCGCGGAGGGCGCGGAGGGGGCGCGCGGGGAGGGCGCGGAGGGCGCGGGGCGGGCGUGCGCCCAGGGCGCGCGGCGGCGGACCAGGGCAGUCGGGGCGGCGGGGGCCGGGCGGGGACAGUCGGGAGGGAGGGCCGAGGGAGGGCCCGCCAAGGACUUACCGGGACCGCAAAUCCAGCCGCCGGAACCUCCCCGGGAGAGGCGGGGGCCACGGGGCCUGGCGCGCGCCCUGCGCCCCACGUGCGCCCCCCACCCCGGGACCCCGAGGCCGCGCCGGGGCCCCCACCCGCCCGCCCGCCGCCCACGCGCGCUCCCCGGCGCCGGCCGUCGCCACAGGGAAGGCCACCUGCGUCCCGCGGGCUCUGGCGGGCGGGGCUCCAGGGCGGUCGCUCUCCCUCCUCGCUCGGCCCGGUCAGGGAGGCGCGGGGUCAAGUGAGGCGGAGCCGCCUGGGUCCCCGCCAGGGCCGGUCAGCACUUUCCACCCGGCUGGAGCUCGUCAGGCCCCGGAAUCCCCCCUGGCAGGACUAGCCCGGGCUGCUGGUCUGGGGGGGGGGUGGGGACUGGGGUCGGGGCUAGGGGCAAGGGGGGGGCAGGGACCUGGGGGCAGAGGCUGGAGCAGGGGCUGGGGGCAGGGACCUGGGGCAGAGGCUUGGGAGCAAGGGCCCGGGGGUAGGGACCUGGGGGCAGGGGCUGGAGCAGGGGCCUGGGGGCAGGGGCUGGGGGCAGGGGCCCAGGGGCAGGGACCUGGGGGCAGAGGCUGGAGCAGGGGCCUGGGGGCAGGGGCUGGGGGCAGGGACCUGGGGCAGAGGCUUGGGAGCAAGGGCCCCGGGGGUAGGGACCUGGGGGCAGGGGCUGGAGCAGGGGCCUGGGGGCAGGGACCUGGGGGCAGGGGCUGGAGCAGGGGCCUGGGGACAGGGGCUGGGGGCAGGGACCUGGGGGCAGGGGCUGGAGCAGGGGCCUGGGGACAGGGGCUGGGGACAGGGAACUGGGGCAGAGGCCUGGCUCCUCAGUGA